AUGGGGGGACCAUCCUCCAAGGCUAAAUACUCCUGACUGACCGAUAGUGAACCAGUACCGUGAGGGAAAGGCGAAAAGAACCCCGGCGAGGGGAGUGAAAAAGAACCUGAAACCGUGUACGUACAAGCAGUGGGAGCACAGGUUUACCUGUGUGACUGCGUACCUUUUGUAUAAUGGGUCAGCGACUUAUAUUCUGUAGCAAGGUUAACCGUAUAGGGGAGCCGGAGGGAAACCGAGUCUUAAUUGGGCGUUAAGUUGCAGGGUAUAGACCCGAAACCCGGUGAUCUAGCCAUGGGCAGGUUGAAGGUUGGGUAACACUAACUGGAGGACCGAACCGACUAAUGUUGAAAAAUUAGCGGAUGACCUGUGGCUGGGGGUGAAAGGCCAAUCAAACCGGGAGAUAGCUGGUUCUCCCCGAAAGCUAUUUAGGUAGCGCCUCGUGAAUUCAUCUCCGGGGGUAGAGCACUGUUUCGGCUAGGGGGCCAUCCCGGCUUACCAACCCGAUGCAAACUGCGAAUACCGGAGAAUGUUAUCACGGGAGACACACGGCGGGUGCUAACGUCCGUCGUGAAGAGGGAAACAACCCAGACCGCCAGCUAAGGUCCCAAAGUCAUGGUUAAGUGGGAAACGAUGUGGGAAGGCCCAGACAGCCAGGAUGUUGGCUUAGAAGCAGCCAUCAUUUAAAGAAAGCGUAAUAGCUCACUGGUCGAGUCGGCCUGCGCGGAAGAUGUAACGGGGCUAAACCAUGCACCGAAGCUGCGGCAGCGACGCUUAUGCGUUGUUGGGUAGGGGAGCGUUCUGUAAGCCGUUGAAGGUGGCCUGUGAGGGUUGCUGGAGGUAUCAGAAGUGCGAAUGCUGACAUAAGUAACGAUAAAGC
rnacentral:rRNA from 1 species